AGGCUGUUGUGCAGCGGCACCCAGGUCGGGCUGGUUUCGUGGGCCAGCACACGCUGCUGGUUCGAGGCCAGGGUGACUUCC
rnacentral:tRNA from 1 species